rnacentral:rRNA from 1 species
AGGGCACCACCAGGAGUGGAGCCUGCGGCUUAAUUUGACUCAACACGGGAAAACUCACCCGGCCCGGACACUGGAAGGAUUGACAGAUUGAGAGCUCUUUCUUGAUUCAGUGGGUGGUGGUGCAUGGCCGUUCUUAGCUGGUGGAGUGAUUUGUCUGGUUAAUUCCGAUAACGAACGAGACUCUAGCCUACUAAAUAGAUCGUCGGCUUACAAACGCCGGCGAGACUUCUUAGAGGGACAGGCGGUGAUUCAACCGCACGAAACAGAGCAAUAACAGGUCUGUGAUGCCCUUAGAUGUCCGGGGCCGCACGCGCGCUACACUGAAGUGAUCAGCGUGCUUUUUCAACCUACUCUGUCAAGAGUGGGGAACCCAAUGAACCUUCUUCGUGAUUGGGAUAGGGGAUUGUAAUUAUUCCCCUUGAACGAGGAAUUCCCAGUAAGCGCGAGUCAUAAAGCUCGCGUUGAUUACGUCCCUGCCCCUUUGUACACACCGCCCGUCGCCUACUACCGAUUGGAAGG